rnacentral:rRNA from 1 species
GGUUAAGCGACUAAGCGUACACGGUGGAUGCCCUGGCAGUCAGAGGCGAUGAAGGACGUGCUAAUCUGCGAAAAGCGCCGGCGAGGUGAUAUGAACCUUUGACCCGGCGAUGUCCGAAUGGGGAAACCCAGUGCAAUUCGUUGCACUAUCGUUAACUGAAUACAUAGGUUAACGAGGCGAACCGGGG